AAAGCAGGGGACCGCAAGGCCUUGCGCGAACGGAGCGGCCGAUGGCAGAUUAGGUAGUUGGUGGGAUAAAAGCUUACCAAGCCGACGAUCUGUAGCUGGUCUGAGAGGAUGAUCAGCCACACUGGGACUGAGACACGGCCCAGACUCCUACGGGAGGCAGCAGUGGGGAAUUUUGGACAAUGGGCGAAAGCCUGAUCCAGCCAUGCCGCGUGCAGGAUGAAGGCCUUCGGGUUGUAAACUGCUUUUGUACGGAACGAAAAGACUCUGGUUAAUACCUGGGGUCCAUGACGGUACCGUAAGAAUAAGCACCGGCUAACUACGUGCCAGCAGCCGCGGUAAUACGUAGGGUGCAAGCGUUAAUCGGAAUUACUGGGCGUAAAGCGUGCGCCCUUUCCUGACGCUGAGGAGCGAAAGCGUGGGGAGCGAACAGGCUUAGAUACCCUGGUAGUCCACGCUGUAAACGGUGGGUACUAGGUGUGGGGUCCAUUCCACGGGUUCCGUGCCGUAGCUAACGCUUUAAGUACCCCGCCUGGGGAGUACGGCCGCAAGGCUAAAACUCAAAGGAAUUGACGGGGACCCGCACAAGCGGUGGAUGAUGUGGUUUAAUUCGAUGCAACGCGAAAAACCUUACCCACCUUUGACAUGUACGGAAUCCUUUAGAGAUAGAGGAGUGCUCGAAAGAGAGCCGUAACACAGGUGCUGCAUGGCUGUCGUCAGCUCGUGUCGUGAGAUGUUGGGUUAAGUCCCGCAACGAGCGCAACCCUUGUUCACUGUUGCCAGCACGUUAUGGUGGGGACUCAGUGGAGACCGCCGGGGUCAACUCGGAGGAAGGUGGGGAUGACGUCAAGUCAUCAUGCCCCUUAUGUCCAGGGCUUCACGCAUGCUACAAUGGCUGGUACAGAGAGUGGCGAGCCUGUGAGGGUGAGCGAAUCUCGGAAAGCCGGUCUCAGUUCGGAUUGGGGUCUGCAACUCGACCUCAUGAAGUCGGAGUCGCUAGUAAUCGCAGAUCAGCAACGCUGCGGUGAAUACGUUCCCGGGGCUUGUACACACCGCCCGUCAAGUCAUGAAAGUUGGUAACACCCGAAGCCGGUGGCCUAACCGUUGUGGGGGAGCCGUCGAAGGUGGGACUGGUGAUUAGGACUAAGUCGUAACAAGGUAGCCGUACCGGAAGGUGCGGCUGGAUCACCUCCUUU
rnacentral:rRNA from 1 species